rnacentral:lncRNA from 1 species
AUGAAUUUCACAAGUCACAGGUUCAAAAUAACAGCUUCACAAUGAUCAUGUUGCAGAUGAACUUAGAGAGAUCUUGAAUGAUAUAUCAUAUGGAGUUUCAAAUUGCAAGCACUUGGUUUCUCAAUAAGCUGGCAUUGGCCAAGUCCUUUAGCCUAGGAAUGUUGCCUAAAUUCUAAGUUCAUCUGUCCAAGAUCAAGCCAAC